UAUCGUCUUCUCUGGCUCUGAUCCAAUCGGAUAUCUCAGCUCAGGCAGUGCUAGUCUUAAAGGUAAUGGAUCUCCCAUCUUGUUUCAGGAAGGGUUUCCUGAAACAAUACAAAUCCUUCCUGAAGUCUAUACACAUGCUUUCACAUGAACUAGAAUUCUACCAAUCAUAUUAGGUUAAAACGAGCAAGUCAAUACACAAGCAAAAACCAGGAGACCAAUCUCUCAGAAAAAAAAAACACAUAAGGUUGAAUCUGCAGGAAGGGUUUCCUGAAACAAUACAAAUCCUUCCUGAAGUCUAUUCACAUGCUUUCACAUGAACUAGAAUUCUACCAAUCAUAUUAGGUUAAAAUGAGCAAGUCAAUACACAAGCAAAAACCAGGAGACCAAUCUCUCAGAAAGAAAACACACAUAAGGUUGAAUCUGCAGGAAGGGUUUCCUGAAACAAUACAAAUCCUUCCUGAAGUCUAUACAC
rnacentral:lncRNA from 1 species